rnacentral:rRNA from 1 species
AGAUUAACGCUGGCGGCAGGCCUAACACAUGCAAGUCGAGCGGUAGCACAGAGAGCUUGCUCUCGGGUGACGAGCGGCGGACGGGUGAGUAAUGUCUGGGAAACUGCCUGAUGGAGGGGGAUAACUACUGGAAACGGUAGCUAAUACCGCAUAAUGUCGCAAGACCAAAGUGGGGGACCUUCGGGCCUCAUGCCAUCAGAUGUGCCCAGAUGGGAUUAGCUAGUAGGUGGGGUAACGGCUCACCUAGGCGACGAUCCCUAGCUGGUCUGAGAGGAUGACCAGCCACACUGGAACUGAGACACGGUCCAGACUCCUACGGGAGGCAGCAGUGGGGAAUAUUGCACAAUGGGCGCAAGCCUGAUGCAGCCAUGCCGCGUGUGUGAAGAAGGCCUUCGGGUUGUAAAGCACUUUCAGCGGGGAGGAAGGCGGUGAGGUUAAUAACCUCAUCGAUUGACGUUACCCGCAGAAGAAGCACCGGCUAACUCCGUGCCAGCAGCCGCGGUAAUACGGAGGGUGCAAGCGUUAAUCGGAAUUACUGGGCGUAAAGCGCACGCAGGCGGUCUGUCAAGUCGGAUGUGAAAUCCCCGGGCUCAACCUGGGAACUGCAUUCGAAACUGGCAGGCUAGAGUCUUGUAGAGGGGGGUAGAAUUCCAGGUGUAGCGGUGAAAUGCGUAGAGAUCUGGAGGAAUACCGGUGGCGAAGGCGGCCCCCUGGACAAAGACUGACGCUCAGGUGCGAAAGCGUGGGGAGCAAACAGGAUUAGAUACCCUGGUAGUCCACGCCGUAAACGAUGUCGAUUUGGAGGUUGUGCCCUUGAGGCGUGGCUUCCGGAGCUAACGCGUUAAAUCGACCGCCUGGGGAGUACGGCCGCAAGGUUAAAACUCAAAUGAAUUGACGGGGGCCCGCACAAGCGGUGGAGCAUGUGGUUUAAUUCGAUGCAACGCGAAGAACCUUACCUGGUCUUGACAUCCACAGAACUUUCCAGAGAUGGAUUGGUGCCUUCGGGAACUGUGAGACAGGUGCUGCAUGGCUGUCGUCAGCUCGUGUUGUGAAAUGUUGGGUUAAGUCCCGCAACGAGCGCAACCCUUAUCCUUUGUUGCCAGCGGUUAGGCCGGGAACUCAAAGGAGACUGCCAGUGAUAAACUGGAGGAAGGUGGGGAUGACGUCAAGUCAUCAUGGCCCUUACGACCAGGGCUACACACGUGCUACAAUGGCAUAUACAAAGAGAAGCGACCUCGCGAGAGCAAGCGGACCUCAUAAAGUAUGUCGUAGUCCGGAUUGGAGUCUGCAACUCGACUCCAUGAAGUCGGAAUCGCUAGUAAUCGUAGAUCAGAAUGCUACGGUGAAUACGUUCCCGGGCCUUGUACACACCGCCCGUCACACCAUGGGAGUGGGUUGCAAAAGAAGUAGGUAGCUUAACCUUCGGGAGGGCGCUUACCACUUUGUGAUUCAUGACUGGGGUGAAUCUAAG